rnacentral:rRNA from 1 species
UAAUACGUAGGGGCCGAGCGUUGUCCGGAAUUACUGGGCGUAAAGCGCGCGCAGGCGGCGCGUUAAGCCUGACGUGAAAGCCCCCGGCUCAACCGGGGAGGGUCGUCGGGGACUGGCGCGCUUGAGGGCGGUAGGGGCCGGUGGAAUUCCCGGUGUAGUGGUGAAAUGCGUAGAGAUCGGGAGGAACACCAGUGGCGAAGGCGGCCGGCUGGGCCGACCCUGACGCUGAGGCGCGAAGGCGUGGGGAGCGAACGGGAUUAGAUACCCCGGUAGUCCACGCAGUAAACGAUGCAGACUAGGCGUGGGGGGACUUGACCCCCUCCGUGCCGCAGCCAACGCGACAAGUCUGCCGCCUGGGGAGUACGGCCGCAAGGCUA